rnacentral:lncRNA from 1 species
AAUAACAGAACACUGAACAUGAUGGGGCUGGAAGAUUGCAUGUCGAAGACUCCUUUGCAGGUUGGUAGAGCCAUAUGCGUACCCAGCUACUCAGAGAGGUAAACAGAGAUAAUGGAAGUAGAAAACAAGAGGGUUGAAGCUUCUAGUUGCUCUUUUCCCCUGAUGCUUGAAGUACUUGUAUGUAAGGAGUCUCUUUGCCAGUUGAAAUGGCUUUGCCAACAGAGGUCACAUACGAUCUAAGUGGAAGUCAUCCUGGGUGGCCCUGAAUGAGUGACUCUUACCCUGGACUGCUCCCUUGGAAAGUCUUUAAUCCAAGAAAAUAAAACCUUGGAUAUU